rnacentral:misc_RNA from 1 species
AUUUCCCCAAUGGGUUCUCCGGAUUUCUGGAGACUUGUAGGGGUUGUGGGAUUUUUGAUAUGUCGUCUCCGGACGGGCGGUGCAGGGUAGUCGAGUUAGACUUGGUGGAAUUCCGUCGAUAGGAGUUCCGUCGAGUCUGGUCGGCUGUGUGUUGGACGGUGCAGGGUAGGCUGCUUGGACAUGGUCGGUUCGAGGAUCGAUUCGAGGGCCGGCCUGUCGAUGAUGUGUGAUGUAUGCGGUCUAGGGUAGGCUGGUUUGUCUUGGUCCAAUUUGAUGUCGACUCCCGUGCAGGCCAGAGUGAGGGGGUACAGGGUAGGCAGCUUAGAUUUGGUCGAUCUGGAGGUCGAUUUUCCGGCUGGCGGAUCUGACACUGUCGAAACGAGAUGCGAGCGGUGUAGGGUAGGCUAGUUUCGUCCUCGCCGGGUUGCGAUUUGGACGAGAUAUGUGGUCUAGGGUAGGCUCUAGGGUAAGUAGAAUUCGAGUUUCGUCGCCGACAGUUUUCUGUGGGUGUGUGGUAGGUACAGGGUAGGCAAAUCUCCCUCCGGCCAGUACUUGUCUGGUGGUCGUGAGUCGAUUUUUUUGUUUU